rnacentral:rRNA from 1 species
UACGAACGCUGGCGGCAGGCCUAACACAUGCAAGUCGAGCGAGGACUUCGGUCCUAGCGGCGGACGGGUGAGUAACGCGUGGGAACGUGCCCUUUGCUACGGAAUAGCCCUGGGAAACUGGGAGUAAUACCGUAUGCGCCCUUCGGGGGAAAGAUUUAUCGGCAAAGGAUCGGCCCGCGUUGGAUUAGGUAGUUGGUGGGGUAAUGGCCUACCAAGCCGACGAUCCAUAGCUGGUUUGAGAGGAUGAUCAGCCACACUGGGACUGAGACACGGCCCAGACUCCUACGGGAGGCAGCAGUGGGGAAUCUUAGACAAUGGGCGCAAGCCUGAUCUAGCCAUGCCGCGUGAGCGAUGAAGGCCUUAGGGUUGUAAAGCUCUUUCAGUGGGGAAGAUAAUGACGGUACCCACAGAAGAAGCCCCGGCUAACUCCGUGCCAGCCGCCGCGGUAAAAC